UCAAUUGGCCAGCAUCUAGAGUCACCUAGGAGACAAGCCUCUGGGAAUGUUGAUGAGGAUGUUUACAUAUUGGAUCAACUGAGAUGAAAAGAAUCAUCCCAGCUGCGGGCAGCACCAAUCCUCAAAUCCUGUGGGUUAGAGUUCCAGAAUGAACGAAGAGGAAAACAAGUGCCUUGGCUGGGAAACUACAGUGAAUGAACCAAAGCUCUCUGCUGCAAGAGGCUGGGAGUAGGAGCUGGUGGAAGCGCAGGGGAGAAAAACCCAGGCUGAGUGGCAUCCAGGGUGGUGUCACAGGACCGGUUUCUGCCAGGAUGCCAAGGAGGUCUCUAAGUAGAACUGUGGAUAUGAGGAAGAAAGGUUGCCAGGCCCAGGGAGCGAUGAGAAAACAGGCUCAAAGUGGGGAAGUGACUUGCCCAGGAUUGCACAGUUCAGCUUGUAUUCAGAAUAGUCAGAGGCACAGAACCCAGAGAACAAAAUGCCAGCUUGUUACAGACAGGGCUGCUUGGGGAACAUAGCUUAGGCCGGCAGAGCUGAUCCCUGUGGUGCUGAAAACAGACAUCUAUAAGCCCAGCCCUCCCCUGAAGCUUGUCAGGGCUGUCUUCAUGUGUCUGCUUUCCCCCGGACUGUGUUACCUAUGUCAUGCUCUUACAAAUCAGCUGCCAGCAUCUGCCUCCAUCACAGAGGUCAAGCUUUCUUCAAGAUGACUUCCUGCCCGGCAGAAUUGUUGUGGAAGAUCAUUCUCUGAUCAAUACUGCUGCUAUCUUCGGGAGGGCUGGACCUGCUUACAAGGAAUUAUCAUAGGACUUGCUGGCCACUAAAAGCUGCUCUGCUCCCAAGAUCCCCUGGGAACUAUGGUCCCCUAAAAGCGGCUUUUGAUCAGGCUGGAUCUUCUCUACCAGAUGAGACCGAAAUCAAAGGCCUGAAAUUGCAGCUGAAAACAUAUCCUCCACUAACUCAAGGGAAGAAAUCAGGACAGCUUAAACUCCUGAUGGCUCCAGCACCGGAUGACCUUCCCGUUUUAUCCUGAGACUACUGAGAAAUAGUUCUGCCUUAGGGAUGGGAAGCUUGCACCCAUGUGUUCAGGGGGGUACAUAUUCUACUGUGUCUUGGUGUGAUGAAAGUAGACAGUGGUAGAACUCAAGACUCAACUCCUUGACAGAUGCCCCAGUGGUGCUGAUGCUAGUAGUCCAGGCACCACUCCUGGAGAACCAGUGCUAUAUUUACUUU
rnacentral:lncRNA from 1 species